rnacentral:rRNA from 1 species
AUCUCCCUCUUUCUUCAGGCCUAACACAUGCAAGUCGAACGAACUCUUCGGAGUUAGUGGCGGACGGGUGAGUAACACGUGGGAACGUGCCUUUUGGUUCGGAAUAACUCAGGGAAACUUGUGCUAAUACCGAAUGUGCCCUUCGGGGGAAAGAUUUAUCGCCAUUAGAGCGGCCCGCGUCUGAUUAGCUAGUUGGUGAGGUAACGGCUCACCAAGGCGACGAUCAGUAGCUGGUCUGAGAGGAUGACCAGCCACACUGGGACUGAGACACGGCCCAGACUCCUACGGGAGGCAGAAGUGGGGAAUCUUGCGCAAUGGGCGAAAGCCUGACGCAGCCAUGCCGCGUGAAUGAUGAAGGUCUUAGGAUUGUAAAAUUCUUUCACCGGGGACGAUAAUGACGGUACCCGGAGAAGAAGCCCCGGCUAACUUCGUG